AAACCAAAAGAUCAAUAACAACAAAAUUAUGAGAAUAUUUAAAUGAAUCAAGAUAGAAAACACAAGGUAUGUAAGGAUCUGUAUAAGAUCAAUAACUUGAUAUAAAUAGCAUCAUAACUAUCAGCAACACAAUCACGAUUAGUAAGGACAAUCUACUUAAUUACUUUAUAAACUAGAAGAGUAGUAAGUUCGUCUAUAAACAAAAUAGUAGCACAACCAUUGUCCGCUUAUUUACCAUCUUUCAAAUGUUUAGGCAUGAACAUGAUCAUGACAGAAGAAAGAAAAGAACAGGAAACAAACAUAACACUCAGUUGGACUCAAUAGCAA